CGCGUAGGUGGUUCGUUAAGUUGGAUGUGAAAUCCCCGGGCUCAACCUGGGAACUGCAUUCAAAACUGACGAGCUAGAGUAUGGUAGAGGGUGGUGGAAUUUCCUGUGUAGCGGUGAAAUGCGUAGAUAUAGGAAGGAACACCAGUGGCGAAGGCGACCACCUGGACUGAUACUGACACUGAGGUGCGAAAGCGGUGGGGAGACAAACA
rnacentral:rRNA from 1 species